GAUGAACGCUGGCGGCGUGCUUAACACAUGCAAGUCGAGCGAACAGACCCUGCUCUUGUGUGUUGCUCGUGUGGCGCGCGGGUGAGUGUCACAUGUGUAACCUCCCCUUGUCAUUGUGAGAACUUCUGGGGACUGGGGCUCUUACCGCGUAUGAUCUCCUGCUGCAUGUUGGUCAUAGGUGAGAGUCGGCGGUUGUGUAUGGUCUCGCAGCUUAUCAGCUUGUUGGUGGGGUAGUGGCUUUCCAAGGCUGUGACGGCUAGCCGGCCUGAGAGGGCGACCGGCGACAAGGGGACUAAGAUACGGCCCAGACUGCUACGGGCGGCAGCAGUGGGGAAUAUUGCAGAAUGGGCGGAAGCCAGAGGCAGCAAUGCUGCGAGCGGAAUGAUGGGCUACUGGUUGUAAACAGCUUUCGCAGGUGACGAAGCGUGAUUGACGGUAAUGAGUAAAAAAGCACCGGCUAACUACGUG
rnacentral:rRNA from 1 species